rnacentral:rRNA from 1 species
GAGUUUGAUUCUGGCUCAGAGUGAACGCCGGCGGCAGGCCUAACACAUGCAAGUCGAGCGGCAGCACAGGAGAGCUUGCUCUCUGGGUGGCGAGCGGCGGACGGGUGAGGAACACAUCGGAAUCUGCCCAGUUGUGGGGGAUAACGUAGGGAAACUUACGCUAAUACCGCAUACGACCUACGGGUGAAAGCAGGGGACCUUCGGGCCUUGCGCGACUGGAUGAGCCGAUGUCGGAUUAGCUUGUUGGUGAGGUAAAGGCUCACCAAGGCGACGAUCCGUAGCUGGUCUGAGAGGAUGAUCAGCCACACUGGAACUGAGACACGGUCCAGACUCCUACGGGAGGCAGCANNNGGGAAUAUUGGACAAUGGGCGCAAGCCUGAUCCAGCCAUGCCGCGUGUGUGAAGAAGGCCUUCGGGUUGUAAAGCACUUUUGUACGGGAAGAAAUCUCUUGGGUUAAUACCCUGGGAGGAUGACGGUACCGUAAGAAUAAGCACCGGCUAACUUCGUGCCAGCAGCCGCGGUAAUACGAAGGGUGCAAGCGUUACUCGGAAUUACUGGGCGUAAAGCGUGCGUAGGUGGUUCGUUAAGUCUGCCGUGAAAGCCCCGGGCACAACCUGGGAAUUGC